rnacentral:rRNA from 1 species
UACGUAGGGUGCAAGCGUUGUCCGGAAUUAUUGGGCGUAAAGAGCUCGUAGACGGUCUGUCGCGUCUGCUGUGAAAACCCAGGGCUCAACCCUGGGCCUGCAUUCGAUACGGGCAGACUAGAGUACGGCAGGGGAGACUGGAAUUCCUGGUGUAGCGGUGAAAUGCGCAGAUAUCAGGAGGAACACCGGUGGCGAAGGCGGGUCUCUGGGCCGUAACUGACGCUGAGGAGCGAAAGCGUGGGGAGCGAACAGG